GUUCCGGAUUGUCGCUGAGCAGCUGCAUGCUGGGAAAUGUAGUCCUCAUCCUUGUAUUCCGUUCCUGCCGUCCCCGACGCGAAAGAUGCCGGCCGUACACCACAAAUUAUUACUCGAGGAGGCUUUGCAAGACAGUCCGCAGACGCGGUCCUUGCUCAGUGUGUCUGAAGAGGAUGCAGGCACACUCACUAACUACACAGACCAGCUGCUCCAGCACAGAGAUCAGCACACUGAAGGAGAUAUUCGGCAUCGCCAGAGAUGAGCGUGAAGCUGCCAUGGUGAAAUAUAGUCGUUUACCUAAGAAGAGAGAAAAUGAAAAGUAAGACGGGUCUGGUGAUGACGGUGUGGGACCGCUUGUUCUUCUUCACGCUCGGGGGGAACCUGAUGUGUCAGCUGCGGGAUGGUCCUGGAUAUGGACAACUGUUCUGUCAUGACCAUCGAGUGUGAGGAGCGCCGCUACUGCUUCCAGAUCACUUCACCCAACGGCAGAACCUCUCUGAUUCUUCAGGAAUAUGAAGAGUGGAUUUGCACCAUCAACAAAAUUUCCAGACAGAAUUAUCUAACCGACAAGCCUGAGGUUGCAUCAGACGGCUCUGCAGGCUGUGACGCCCAUCACCAGCUUUGAGAAGCGAGCAGAGGGUUCUCCUAAAACCGACCGAGUGACACCAGGCGGUGUGUCCUCCAGAGAGCCUCAGAAACCCCUCGAGCCUGAGGAUCUGAUCGUCCCGGGAACACCAAUCCAGUUUGACAUUUGUUUUCUGUCAGACGCACAAACCCCGUUGGUGAGGAGGAAGAUGGAGGAAGAUGAUGAUGAUUCAGACACACACGGACCCUGAAGCUCUGGCUCAGCUCCUGAAGUCGAUGCCGGACCAGACGAGCUGGACUCAGAGGCCUGAUCUGAAAACAACACACACACACACACUCACUCCUCGCAGCUCCAGACAGACUACUGAAGGAAAAACAACAGGUGAUCGAGUGAACACGCUCAUUCGUUUACCCCUUACCUAAUUUUAGAUGCUUCUGAUGAAGGAUCAAGCCUUUUUUUGUAACCUUUCAGUUUGAACACAUUAGACAUGGUUUUACAAGUUCAAGGAAUAAUUCACCCAAAAAUUAACCUUUCUACCGUUUCCUCAGCGAAUGACAGAUGCUCAGUCAAGAGUACUGCAUGACUCUGAAUAUAGAGCUUGAGUGCUGUCCACAGUUCAACAGAGUAAAUUACUGUUUCAGUUUCAUUGUGUGGAAAAGUUGUUCAUUUUUUGGGUGUACUGUCACUUUAAGGCAAGAGUCUUAUUGAUUCCGUUAGCAACGUGAUUGUCAUUUACACUUCAUUAGAGUUUAAAAUUGUUUCCUAAUGUCAGAUGUUUUAGCUUUUUAAAGGAUAAUUUAUGCUGUUGAUUAUGAUACUGGAAAGGUUUAGAAAACUCACACUUCGUUAUCACCUCCAUGAAACCUGAACAUUUGCACUUUCUUUCUUCCUGUUGCCUCUGAAAUGUUAAAUGCUGAUUUUCAUAAGCAUCAAGCUGCCAUGACACUUUAAUUGUGAUGCUGUUUAUAAUAACGUCUUGCAAAGCCUGUGUGAAAACCAAUUUGCGUACGAGCAAUGAUUUAGGAUGCAGUUUUAAAAUAUGCAUUCAUGAAUGCUAAUACUGCUUCGGAAAAUACUUUUGUGGCGUUUUUGGUUAAAUUUCACAUGUAUGAACAAAUGUUAAGGGAUAGUUUUCCAAGAAA